UCCUUCUCAGUUAGAUCGAGCAAGGAAGGAAAAGCGACCGCAAGCACCGUCUGCUUUCCCCUCUAACUCAUCGGGAAGUUCCACCCUCGAAGUUUUCCAAAGGCGACUUGAUGAUUACGAACGUAAAUUUUAAGAGAUCAAUCGCCAACUUGCUCAGCUUCAAAUGGAAGGUCGAAAGUCCUCCAACGACUACGACUUCCAUACCACCCAGUUGCUUUCUU
rnacentral:lncRNA from 1 species